rnacentral:rRNA from 1 species
UACGUAGGGGGCUAGCGUUGUCCGGAAUCAUUGGGCGUAAAGAGCGUGUAGGCGGUCCGGUAAGUCCGCUGUGAAAGUCGGGGGCUCAACCCUCGAAUGCCGGUGGAUACUGUCGGGCUAGAGUGCGGAAGAGGCGAGUGGAAUUCCUGGUGUAGCGGUGAAAUGCGCAAAUAUCAGGAGGAACACCAGUAGCGAAGGCGGCUCGCUGGGCCGUUCCUGACGCUGAGACGCGAAAGCUAGGGGAGCGAACAGG